GACGAACGCUGGCGGCGUGCCUAAUACAUGCCAGUCGAGCGGACUGAUUAAGAGCUUGCUCUUAUGACGUUAGCGGCGGACGGGUGAGUAACACGUGGGCAACCUGCCCUGUAGAUCGGGAUAACACCGAGAAAUCGGUGCUAAUACCGGGUAAUAUCUGAGAUCACAUGAUCUUAGGUUAAAAGAUGGCUCCGGCUAUCACUACAGGAUGGGCCCGCGGCGCAUUAGCUAGUUGGUAAGGUAAUGGCUUACCAAGGCGACGAUGCGUAGCCGACCUGAGAGGGUGAUCGGCCACACUGGGACUGAGACACGGCCCAGACUCCUACGGGAGGCAGCAGUAGGGAAUCUUCCGCAAUGGACGAAAGUCUGACGGAGCAACGCCGCGUGAGUGAUGAAGGGGUUCGGCUCGUAAAGCUCUGUUGUUAGGGAAGAAACAGUACCGAACGAACUAGGUCGGUACCUUGACGGUACCUAACCAGAAAGCCACGGCUAACUACGUG
rnacentral:rRNA from 1 species